rnacentral:rRNA from 1 species
UACAGAGGGUGCAAGCGUUAAUCGGAAUUACUGGGCGUAAAGCGUGCGUAGACGGUUUAUGUAAGUCAGAUGUGAAAGCCCCCGGGCUCAACCUGGGAAUGGCGAUGGAUACUGGCGCGCUAGAGUGCGGUAGAGGAGAGUGGAAUUCCCGGUGUAGCAGUGAAAUGCGUAGAGAUCGGGAGGAACAUCAGUUGCGAAGGCGGCUCUCUGGACCAGCACUGACACUGAGGCACGAAAAGCGUGGGGAGCAAAACAGG